UACGAAGGGGGCUAGCGUUGCUCGGAAUCACUGGGCGUAAAGGGUGCGUAGGCGGGUCUUUAAGUCAGGGGUGAAAUCCUGGAGCUCAACUCCAGAACUGCCUUUGAUACUGAGAAGCUUGAGUCCGGGAGAGGUGAGUGGAACUGCGAGUGUAGAGGUGAAAUUCGUAGAUAUUCGGAAGAACACCAGUGGCGAAGGCGACUUACUGGACACAUAUUGACGCUGAGGCGCGAAAGCCAGGGGAGCGAACGGG
rnacentral:rRNA from 1 species